UUUGAUGGUAUUCUAAUAUUUUUAUGUGGUUUGCUUUUAGUUUUAUUCUUUUAAUCUUUGUUUGAUCAUAAUUGUGGUAUUCUUAUUUCUUAGGAAAUUAAAAUUAUGAAUUUGAGUUGCAGUAUAUAUAUGGCAGCAUCAAGAUUGCAACUUGAUGCAACAAGAUUUUGAAUUUAACAUACUAGCUUUGGAUUCUCUUUCGACAUUUUGCUAGAAUUUAAUUGUGGAGGGAAUUAUUGCAUAUCUAGACAUCAAAUCGGACCCGACCAGACAUCAUAUCAGACAUUCUCUCUAAGACAAAGGACUUCCAAAGU